rnacentral:rRNA from 1 species
CCGAAACUAAGUGAGCUACUUCAAAACAGCCCUGGGGCCAACCCGUCUCUGUUGCAAAAGAGUGGGAAGAUUUUCAAGUAGAGGUGAUAAACCUACCGAACUUAGAGAUAGCUGGUUACUUAAGAAACGAAUAUAAGUUCGACCCUGAGCCUACUAUUAAAUAAAAAACCUUCUAAGACUCAGGAUUUAUUCAAAUAAGGCACAGCUUGUUUGAAUCAGGAUACAACCUCGUACAAAGGGUAAAACUAUAGAUACAUACAGCAAGUAGGCCUAAAAGCAGCCACCUUUAAAAAAGCGUCAAAGCUUAGCACUAUAAGUCUCCUCAAUACCUCAAUUCUUCUUUAACCCUUCACCAUUAUUAAGUAACUCCAUAACCCUAUGGAAGCUAUUAUGCUAGAACUAGUAACAAGAAAAAGAUUUUUCUCCAAAAUGUAAGUUUAAGCCACAAUAGACUAUCUACUGGCAAUUAACGCAAAUGAACCUCAUUUAGCAACGCUUCAAGAAAACCCUAAAAUUUUUAGCGUUAACCUUACACUAGAGCAU